CGAAACUGCCGGAGUACGGAGCCGGCUCGUCUUCACGUAUUGACAUCCUAUCUGCUUCAACGAUAAACUUCGGAUUAAAUACGGAAAGGAGACUUGUCUCGCAGUUUCGAGAAGAAAUUUCUAAGACUUUCCCCGCUGUUGCGGAGUUCGCGAUGGGCCGAUCAUCUCGCACACAUCCUAUGCAUUUUCAGGCUAAAGCGACUAAUUUGGUAGCAGAGUGAAGCCGAUGACAUCCCUACUAUUCAGCACUGACGGAAUUUAAGAUGAAUCGCAGCCCGGACGCACACCAGGGGCGCAGUUGCUGGGUUACAGCCGAGCCGAGCUUCCUGGGCGAGCGUGACCCCCCGACCCCCUGCGGCAGCUGGAGAGGAGAGCCAAUUGAGCGACAACCUUGCGCAUUCCCGGAGCAGGAAAGUCAAACCUAUUAACAAUACGUUUUCAAUACUCUUGAACGCAGGGGCGUUGCCAGGAAUUGCCAGCAUAGGGGGACCCCUCCAAUUUACAAUUUACACUCCUCGAGCGGUAUAAUCAAACAGCAUAAUUAGC